rnacentral:lncRNA from 1 species
UCUCUAUGGCUAUAUAAGCUACAGCUUCCCGGCGGUUGAUUCAGAUUGUACAUCAGUGAUGAUUACUAUUUGGCUCAAAAAACAUUUCAAUUUUUUGGUUAUUAUCUUGUCAAGAAGAGAAAAUCUUCAUUGGGAUAUUGGAGAAGACCAAAAGCAUGUUGCGGUUUUGUUCUUAUAUCAUUUCAGGGCAUGUUGAUAUUGAUCUUUCGUCAAAGAAAUGCGGUCGUCCACCACAACACUACACACUAGCUAUUUCAUAAUAAUUCAUAUACAGGUUUCAUGUGAUUUAGCAUGCCACUGACAACACACACGGUGCUACAUAUGUAACAGACAGGUUUCGAGCUACAGAUAAAGAGAAAACAAGGGACCGACACACUACAAUAUAUAGUGUCUUAGAAUGGCUCCGCGCUCGGACCAUUGAGCUAAUACUACCUAGGAAAGAAAUUCAAGGAAAAGGCAGGUUAUACAUACCCGGGGAGAAGUGCGACAAAAUUGCAUGCAUGGCAUGCAAUUUAAGUAGUUAAUUUUAGGUCCAAGGCAACUACAAGAUCAUACCAAGAAAAAAAAAUAUUCUACUCGAUUAGGCAGGAACCAAAGGAAACAUUAUACCGUCAAAAAAUGCUAAGACAAAAAUACGGGAAAGAACUACUCUACACUUUCAUUUGUUCAUGCAUCUUCAACCAUUUACUCAUUUGUUCAUGGAAAGGGAGGAAAGGAGUUAACAUAGAGACAUGGUUGUGUGUGUGUUUUCUGGUUUAAAAGCUCGCAAUGGACAAGAAAAUGUCCUAGUGUAUUAAAAUGUAAUAGUGUUAUAUGAAAGUGUGGCACAAAAUUGUAUGCAUUUCUCAAAAACUGGUUUCGUAACAACAUCCUUUUUUUAUGUGGGUGUCGUAAUAGCAUCUCUAUGAACCGAGAAAUCUGAACUGUAGGGACAUAUUCCAAUUCAUCCAUUCUUCGUAUUUUGGUAAAUUAUUUUUAAACAUCCUCCAAAUUUCUACAAUUACACCUUUGGCAUUUAGUGCAACUCAUACCAAAAAUCUAUAUCCAAAAUAGAUUUCUCCUAGAUUUAUCUUUGAGAUGACCGAUUUCUCCCAUAUGUGAUCUCAACAAUAGGAAAGAUAACAUCACAAACACAAAUUAACCAAGCACCAAACACGCUCACUAACCCGUGGUUGGAUGGUCAGGAGGAUAGUGGUAUCCCGGAACAACAGAGUUCAAGUCUUAGUCUUAAAACUUGUGUGCUCAUUUUUUUGAAUUUAUUCAGGACUUCACGUGAUCUGCGUUUAACGCACAUGCAUGUACAAGUUUAAG